rnacentral:rRNA from 1 species
AGAGUUUGAUCCUGGCUCAGGAUGAACGCUAGCUACAGGCUUAACACAUGCAAGUCGAGGGGCAGCAUGAACUUAGCUUGCUAAGUUUGAUGGCGACCGGCGCACGGGUGAGUAACACGUAUCCAACCUGCCGAUGACUCGGGGAUAGCCUUUCGAAAGAAAGAUUAAUACCCGAUGGCAUAGUUCUUCCGCAUGGUGGAACUAUUAAAGAAUUUCGGUCAUCGAUGGGGAUGCGUUCCAUUAGGUUGUUGGCGGGGUAACGGCCCACCAAGCCUUCGAUGGAUAGGGGUUCUGAGAGGAAGGUCCCCCACAUUGGAACUGAGACACGGUCCAAACUCCUACGGGAGGCAGCAGUGAGGAAUAUUGGUCAAUGGACGAGAGUCUGAACCAGCCAAGUAGCGUGAAGGAUGACUGCCCUAUGGGUUGUAAACUUCUUUUAUACGGGAAUAAAGUGAGGCACGUGUGCCUUUUUGUAUGUACCGUAUGAAUAAGGAUCGGCUAACUCCGUGCCAGCAGCCGCGGUAAUACGGAGGAUCCGAGCGUUAUCCGGAUUUAUUGGGUUUAAAGGGAGCGUAGGCGGACGCUUAAGUCAGUUGUGAAAGUUUGCGGCUCAACCGUAAAAUUGCAGUUGAUACUGGGUGUCUUGAGUACAGUAGAGGCAGGCGGAAUUCGUGGUGUAGCGGUGAAAUGCUUAGAUAUCACGAAGAACUCCGAUUGCGAAGGCAGCUUGCUGGACUGUAACUGACGCUGAUGCUCGAAAGUGUGGGUAUCAAACAGGAUUAGAUACCCUGGUAGUCCACACAGUAAACGAUGAAUACUCGCUGUUUGCGAUAUACAGUAAGCGGCCAAGCGAAAGCGUUAAGUAUUCCACCUGGGGAGUACGCCGGCAACGGUGAAACUCAAAGGAAU